AACGAACGCUGGCGGCAUGCCUAACACAUGCAAGUCGAACGAGACCUUCGGGUCUAGUGGCGCACGGGUGCUUAACGCGUGGGAACCUGCCCUUAGGUUCGGAAUAACUCACCGAAAGGGGUGCUAAUACCGGAUAAUGUCUUCGGACCAAAGAUUUAUCGCCUUUGGAUGGGCCCGCGUUGGAUUAGCUAGUUGGUAGGGUAAAAGCCUACCAAGGCGACGAUCCAUAGCUGGUCUGAGAGGAUGAUCAGCCACACUUGGACUGAGACACGGCCCAGACUCCUACGGGAGGCAGCAGUGGGGAAUAUUGGACAAUGGGCGAAAGCCUGAUCCAGCCAUGCCGCGUGAGUGAUGAAGGCCUUAGGGUUGUAAAGCUCUUUUACCCGGGAUGAUAAUGACAGUACCGGGAGAAUAAGCUCCGGCUAACUCCGUG
rnacentral:rRNA from 1 species